GCGCACCAGGCGAGAAUACUUUACAAUGUGCGAAAGCACGAUAAGGGAACUCUGAGUGCCUCCUAAGGAGGCUGUUCAGGUGUCUAAAAAGCACCUGGAGUAAGGGCUGGGUAAGACCGGUGCCAGCCGCCGCGGUAACACCGGCAGCCCAGGUGGUAGCCACUUUUAUUGGGUCUAAAGCGUCCGUAGCCGGUUGAGUAAGUUCCUUGGGAAAUUUGGCUGCUCAACAGUCAAGCUUCCAGGGAAUACUGCUCGACUUGGGGACUGGGAGAGGUCAGAGGUACUCCAGGGGUAGGGGUGAAAUCCAUUAAUCCCUGGGGGACCACCGGUAGCGAAGGCGUCUGACCAGACCAGGUCCGACGGUGAGGGACGAAGGCUAGGGUCGCGAACCGGAUUAGAUACCCCUGUAGU
rnacentral:rRNA from 1 species